rnacentral:lncRNA from 1 species
AGUGUCACAUUCCCCACGCCCUCCGGGUUCCUCUUACCCAGCGCGCGGCAGCUCCCGAGGACCAGCGCGACCGCGGGCGCGGCCAGCAGGGCGACCAACAGCGUGCAGCCGACGGUCAGCAUGCUUCCUUCUACGCGGGACAGCGGGCGGCAGAGCAGCUCCGCAGCCGGGGCUGGGCGGCCGGCCGACUGGGGCAGCGAGAGCAGUCGCCCUCGGCCGCGGGCUCCACACUCAGCUCGCACUGCGAGCGCUCGCCCCGGCGUGGCUCAGAUCGGUGUGGGCGCGACUUCCCACAUGCACGUGACACACAGCAGCCGGCCGUCCUGGCAACAGCGAAACGUUUGAGGAACCGGUGCUGAAGCUCCUCUUGGCAGCCCCAGCUCGCGGUUACGAAAGCCCAGUAGGAUGGCGCAAUCGUCCAGCGCUCCGGGCCACCGGAGGGGGUUACUUCCUGCAGCCGCGCCACACCUGAGCUCCCAGGGACCCCCACCAGGGCCCCUCCCUAGGUCUUGACGCUGAGAUAAGGAGAAAUAUCCCCCUCCUUCCUUCCCUCCGCGCCUCCGCUUGAGUUUUGCUUUCAUGAGCGCCAGCCUGUGGCUCUGGCUGUUAAAGUAGAAGGCAGGUCAGUGUCCUGGGUGCUUACGGGAAUCAAACAGGGAAUCCGAAAAGACACCGAUGUCUGCUUCGAGCCCAGAGAUUGUGAUUUAAUUGGUCUGAAGGAAAACUUCAUAGGCGUCCAUAACCUGAGAAAAAGAUUUCCUCUCAUCUUCCAGUGGAGGAGCAGCUCUUUGAAGGCUGCUGCAGAGGCAACGAAACCAGUGUGCGCUUUUGAGUCUGGCCCAGAGACACAUGUGUUACCCUCCUCAAGAUUGCUAUCCCCGAUCCGGAAGUCUCAGUUUUCUUACCUAUUAGAGAUGUAUUUUUAAGCCCAUGAUAAAGAUUCCUGGAAACACUGUCGAUGUACCUGGAGCCUAACUACUAAACAAGGAGUAGGGCUUUGAUUACCCAUCAUGACUUGACUGGACACAAAGGAACCGGCAUGUGCUAUUUACCAGACUCCACCAAGGUUCCCUUCCAAGCUACAGAGCUUGAAGCUACAGGGCAGCUUCCCAUGCAAAUGCGGAGGGAAAGAAACACACU